rnacentral:lncRNA from 1 species
CUGUGCUGGUUAAUUUAUUACUGUUUCACUUUCAUUACGACCAAUAAUGCAAGUAUUUUUUAUUGAUUUCAAUAGAAUUAAAGAUCAAUUGUUCAACGGGGAAUAACUCAGUCUUAUUUCACAGAACAUCCUAUCGACAAUAUUACAAAAGGUGUUAAUAACCGUAGUGUUUCACAAAGAAUACAAUAUUGACAUACUGUUUAGCAGUUAAAAGGUACUCCUAAUACAAAACAUAAAAAUUUCGACCAGAUGGUACACUAAAUAGAAACGUUUUUUUUUUAGAUCCAAUUACAGAAGAAAACAAAUGGAGCGUUCUUAACCCGUAAUAAACCUUAUCACGAUUGUCAAACACCAAGACAUCUGUUUUCCUUUCUCCGUUUUUACUUGAUAUUUGAUUAAUUACUAGAGUUAUUAACCAAUCAAUGACCAUUUGGAUAUACUCGCAUAACAAGAAAUAGAAAAU